CUGUAUCUUGAAGUUCCUCUGAACGCUUCACGAGUGGGCUAGAUUGUUCUAUAAGGUGUUACCCUUUAAAUAGAAUAGUCAUCUUCAGCCAAGUGAAGUGUUUGGGGGAACUUUUAGGUACAA
rfam:Cajanus cajan CcLG01_741, whole genome shotgun sequence.